rnacentral:lncRNA from 10 species
ACCUGCUGAACCAGCAGAGCAUGGCGGCGAAGGUCAUGAUCUUUGGAAUCGAACAGAUCUGGGUUCGAGGCUCAGCCUGGCUACUUCCUGGUUGUGUAAUCUUGGCUGCGUGAAUUGACCGCAGUUGGCCUUGGUUUCCUCGUCUGUGAAACGGGGGCAGUGGUGACACAGGCUGCUGGCUGAGGUUAAAUGAGAGCAUGUGGGUGAGCCACAGUUCAGUGCAUGGCAUGCGGGAGGCCUUCAGUAAGUGGUAGCUACCCCGUCAUCAUCACUGUCACCUGGGAUGUCUCCAGCCCGCCCUGUGUCAGAAGGCGGCCCUCCUUCCUGUCGGUGCUGGGGCAUUUCCUGCUCACUGGCUGCCCCCUGUACAGAUCAGCUCUCCCUCCCCUCUGCAGCCUCCCAGGUGACCUCCUGCUAAAGAUUCCAGCACCUACAAAACGUGUUCUUACUCAUUUUAUGGGUGUCCUUAUCAAAAAGCACCACCCGCUCAACUUUACCUUCAUAAACUGGAUUGUUUCCUUUUUCUUCCUAAAGCAAAGAUGCCUCCCUGCCAAGAUUGGGGCAUUUUAUGGUUCAUUCAAACCCAAAUGUAUCAUCUAGAUUGAUAAGAAACACACCCAGUGCCAAGUGCUUAGGGCACAGGUACCUAAUCGGGGGGAAUGACUGACAAGCAGAAUCCUUCCCAGACUUCAGCUCUCUUUCCUCCUUGGCCCUUCACAUGGGGAGGGAAGGGGGCUGCUUGGAGAAGACGCUAGAAGGAAGGGUUGGGUUCAGCGGUGACUCUGAGCUGUGAAGUGCCUUGGAUGCAGGGCUGUGAGCAGGGCGCCUUGGGUGAGCAGUGGUUCCUGAGGUAACCAGGAUGCAGCAGCUCUGCAGAGGUGGCUCCCAGCUGCCUGCUCUUGUUCUCUCCCGACGCUGCUCCCUGGGAAGGGAGGCUGGGAGGAGUCUGGAGAUGCAUCCCAGGACCGCUUUGCAGAGACCUGGAGCACUGAUGACUGAGCAGUGUUUCUAAUGAUGGUCUGAGGCUCAGGCAGUGACUGCCUUGAGGCCAGUCUGGUCUUGCAGUGCGAAUUUAAAAAGAUCCCUAAAACAAAAAUGUCACUCGGGCAAAUGGUGCUUGUUGGUCCAGCGGGCGAAUUUGCUAGGGUGCUGGAGGGAGUCAGGGUGUCUUUGGGCUGCCCACUCCCACUUUUCAAUCUUAGGGUCUUUUAAGAGCAAUUUUGGCAAAAUGCGACAGCAGCCAGUUUUCAGUGCAUAAGGAGAAGGAGAAAAGAAGCAGGCCGAGUCUGUCUCCAGCACAGACUCCAAAAGCAGAGCCGAAGGGUGGGCUGAGGGGAGGCGGCGGCCAGCAG